GAAACUGACAGACUCGAGUACCGGAGAGGAAGGGGAAUUCCCGGUGAGCGGUGAAUGCGUAGACUCGGGAGGAACACCGGUGGCGAAGGCGGCCUUCUGGACGGAUACUGACGCUGAGACGCGAAAGCGUGGGAGCAAACAGGAUUAGAUACCGUGGUAGUCCACGCCGUAAACGAUGGGCACUAGGUGUCGCGGGUAUUGACCCCUGCGGUGCCGCAGCUAACGCAUUAAGUGCCCCGCCUGGGGACUACGGCAGCAAGGUUAAAACUCAAAGGAAUUGACGGGGGCCCGCACAAGCGGUGGAGCAUGUGGUUCAAUUGGACGCAACGCGAAGAACCUUACCCGGGCUAGACAACAGAGGACAGCCUUAGAAAUAAGGUCUUCCGUUCGGGGACCUCUGGUUCAGGUGCUGCAUGGCCGUCGUCAGCUCGUGUCAUGAGACGUUGGGUUAAGUCCCGCAACGAGCGCAACCCUAUCCGUUAGUCGCCAUCAUUUAGUUGGGCACUCUAAAGGGACUGCCCGUGUCAAACGGGAGGAAGGCGGGGAUGACGUCAAGUCCUCAUGGCCCUUAUGUCCGGGGCUACACACGUGCUACAAUGGGCGGUACAAAGGGCAGCAAACCCGCGAGGGGGAGCCAAUCCCAGAAAGCCGCUCUCAGUUCGGAUUGGAGUCUGCAACUCGACUUCAUGAAGGUGGAAUCGCUAGUAAUCGCGGAUCAGCACGCCGCGGUGAAUACGUUCCCGGACC
rnacentral:rRNA from 1 species